CCCAGACUCCUACGGGAGGCAGCAGUGGGGAAUAUUGGACAAUGGGGGAAACCCUGAUCCAGCGACGCCGCGUGAGUGAAGAAGUAUUUCGGUACGUAAAGCUCUAUCAGCAGGAAAGAAAAUGACGGUACCUGACUAAGAAGCCCCGGCUAACUACGUGCCAGCAGCCGCGGUAAUACGUAGGGGGCAAGCGUUAUCCGGAUUUACUGGGUGUAAAGGGAGCGUAGACGGCAGCGCAAGUCUGGAGUGAAAUGCCGGGGCCCAACCCCGGAACUGCUCUGGAAACUGUGAAGCUAGAGUGCAGGAGAGGUAAGCGGAAUUCCUGGUGUAGCGGUGAAAUGCGUAGAUAUCAGGAGGAACACCGGCGGCGAAGGCGGCUUACUGGACGGUAACUGACGUUGAGGCUCGAAGGCGUGGGGAGCAAACAGGAUUAGAUACCCCGGUAUGC
rnacentral:rRNA from 1 species